rnacentral:rRNA from 1 species
UUUCCAGAGAUGGAUUGGUGCCUUCGGGAACUGUGAGACAGGUGCUGCAUGGCUGUCGUCAGCUCGUGUUGUGAAAUGUUGGGUUAAGUCCCGCAACGAGCGCAACCCUUAUCCUUUGUUGCCAGCGGUUAGGCCGGGAACUCAAAGGAGACUGCCAGUGAUAAACUGGAGGAAGGUGGGGAUGAGGUCAAGUCAUCAUGGCCCUUACGACCAGGGCUACACACGUGCUACAAUGGCGCAUACAAAGAGAAGCGACCUCGCGAGAGCAAGCGGACCUCAUAAAGUGCGUCGUAGUCCGGAUUGGAGUCUGCAACUCGACUCCAUGAAGUCGGAAUCGCUAGUAAUCGUGGAUCAGAAUGCCACGGUGAAUACGUUCCCGGGCCUUGUACACACCGCCCGUCACACCAUGGGAGUGGGUUGCAAAAGAAGUAGGUAGCUUAACCUUCGGGAGGGCGCUUACCACUUUGUGAUUCAUGACUGGGGUGAAGUCGUAACAAGGUAACCGUAGGGGAACCUGC